UACAGAGGUCCCGAGCGUUGUUCGGAUUCAUUGGGCGUAAAGGGUGCGUAGGCGGCGGGGCAAGUCUGAUGUGAAAUCCCGGGGCUCAACCCCGGAACUGCAUUGGAUACUGCCUUGCUAGAGUACUGGAGAGGGAACUGGAAUUUACGGUGUAGCAGUGAAAUGCGUAGAGAUCGUAAGGAAGGCCAGUGGCGAAGGCGGCUUCCUGGCCUGUUCUUGACGCUGAGGCGCGAAAGCUAGGGUAGCAAACGGG
rnacentral:rRNA from 1 species